UUAGUGCCUCAAACCUUUAAAAAGGCUUGAGGGGGUGAGCUCACCCUUCUGUUCCUAAUAUCAUGUGAAGACAUAGUGUCCUUCCCCUCUGGAGGAUGCAGCAACAAGGUGCCAUCUUGGAAGCAGAGAGCAGCCCUCAAACCAACUAAUGUCUUGAUCUUGGACUUCCCAGACUCCAGAAGAACUGUGGAUUCUGAGAAGCUGUCAGCUUGGGGCUCCUGCAUCCUGUACUGCCAUGUCUAACAUCACAAAAAUGAAUAGGAUUGGGCUUAUUCAACCUGGAAAGGGAUGAGGAAGCGGAGGCUUAGGAUGAUGAAUGCACUUGCCCAAGGUCACUCAGCGGACCCUAGACCCUGGGCCUAUCUGCCCCUGACCACCUGGCUCCACUUCCGCACCUUCUGCAUCUCCCUUGAGUGGGUCCUAGGUUCUUGCUUGCUGCAGGGAAACCCCUGAUGAGGUUUGGGGAGCAUGGAUGAGGAGCAGAGCAGCCUGAGAGAGCAAGCCUGGGGCCCUCCUGGCAGAUGAGCUCCCUGGGUCCAACUAGAGCACCAUCACUGCCCCCACCACCACGCAUCACUCCCCAGCUCAGCCCAUGCUGAUAGCUCUAGCCUGCGGAAAAGUGCAGUUCUAUCCGAUAUGCCCAGUUGCACGUCCACUAUGCAUGCUAAUCAGCGGCCAACGCUUGCCAACAAUUUGCUUCAGUUCUGGGGCUCACUCUAGGUUUAUUUAUUUUUUAUAUUUAUACUUUGUGUGUGAAGAUGGCUGAAUUGAAGUGGGAGCAGGGUCUGGGAAAGAGGCCCUGCAGAAAUGGGAGGAGCAAGUUAGAAGCCAGCAGGGAAGUCAAGGGUCAUCUUUGCCAUCCCACUGCCUCCUGACAGGAAUGUACCUAAGGGAGAACAGUGCUUCAAAGGAUACCACUGAACCCUUCUGGAGUAUUCCUGGCAGCCUUGGGAGAUGGGAGGUGCCAGGAAUACUCCAGAAAUACUAGCAAGGAUUAGCAAGCCCAGGAUAAAGAAAAGAAAUUCAAGGCUCUGGAGGGUAACGUGAUACAUUAAUUCUUACAACCCAAAUCUGUUGACUGUAGACAAUACAGACUGAAGCAUUGUCUUGCCUCCUUGCCUUGUACUGAGGAGAAAUUCAGGCCACAGUGGGAAAGGUACCUAGCCAGCAGAACAUGAUGAAUUUGAGGCAGACCCAGGACCAAUACCCAGACCUGCUGACUGCCAGCCCCAAGCUCUCAUGAUUGUAUCCCAUAGGGAGCUGGCUGGGAGGGAGAGGUCUUUCCCCUUCCCCUAUGUGUCCCAAAGUAAGAUGGCAUAAACCACCUGAAAGCUCUUUCCAUAGAGUUCUCCACAAAUUCUUGGCAAUUGCCUACUUACAUCUCCCCAAGUUCCUUCCAACUAAGCCUAACCCUUUCCCUCUGCUUCUCACUUUAAAGGAGAUGGCUUCUCCAGCUCUGCUCUCAUACCAGAGCCUGACAUAUAGGAAGUGCUCAGCAAACAUUUGCCCUAUGAAGAGAUGAAUGAACAGGGCAACUUGGCAGUACUUGUAAAGGUGACGAUGAGCACGCACACGCAGAUCCAGCAAAACCCCAGAGAAAUGCUAACACACGUGUCCAUUGGGAGACACAUAUAAGGGUGUUCACAGCAGCACUCUUCCUUUUCUUCAAUUAUGCAAAGCUACCCACAGGUUCAUAAUCAGGAGACCGGAUGAAUAAGUCAUAAUGUAUUUAUACAAUGGAAUACCAUUACAGCAGUGAAAAUGAAUAAACUCCAGCUACAUGUGUUAACUUGGACACAUCUGAAACAUCCAUAUUAUUUCUGCAGCUGAAUGAUGGUGAAAGGGAGCUGUUGCAUCAAUCUUGAAACCUUCAUGUGUGUCUGAAAUAUUUCAUAAUGAAAAUAAAUGAAAAGAAGAAACGGAUGAAUGAAUGAAUGAAUGAAUGCUGCUUCCUCUCAACCAGAGAGCUGAUUCUCCUGCCUUUUCUUUGUUUUAUGUGUAUGUAUCUCUCUGAGACUUAAGAGCACUUUGGAGUCAGCCUAACCUGAACUGGAACCCUGGCUCUGCCCCUUGAUGCUUUGUGACCUGGUGACCCUGGUACCUCUCUACCCACUUCACAGAUGAGUGUGAGCAUUCACUGAGAUCAUGGCGUGUCUUGAAGUUUAUCUAGCCCAGUUCCCCAUUUCACAGAUGGCAAAAGUGAGGUACAAAUGGAAACUUCAGCUCCUUCCCUAGGAGCUAAAAAGAUAUUUGCUCCUUACCCCACAACACCCUGACAGGACCAGGGAAGAAGGUUGCCCAGAUGGUGAUCUG
rnacentral:lncRNA from 10 species